GGGGGUGUGGCUCAAUGGCAGAGCACUUUCCUAGCAUGUGUGAGGCACUGGGUUUGAUCCCCAGCACCACAU
rnacentral:tRNA from 1 species